ACAUGUUUCUUUACUUAUUUUUACUUGUUGGAUUCCAAUCCUUCUUUUUGGACGCCAGUUUAGUAAAGUUAAAAAAAACUUAGAAUUCGGUGAGAUAGAACUGCACCUUAUGAAAAACAAUUUACAAUCGAAACUUAAAUCUAUAAAGAAUAUAACUAGAGGCUGUGUUCACUAUUUGCUACGUGACUUUGUAGAAGUUCACCAAUUUUCUUAUGCUUCCAAUAUCUUCUGUUGCACUGAUAAUAGAAUGAAGCGACCAUCGCAAUAGCUGAUAUGAGAUAACGAAUUUCCUUAUCCUCUCAAUGUCUUCAGUUGCAUUAAUAAUAGCAUCAAGCGACCAACGCAGUGGCUGUCACUCAAGCUACGCGUGAAAUCCCCGUAUGUGGAUGAGCUACUGGAGUUAAUUUAUACAUUUAAUCAAACGCUGCCUUCGUAACAGCAUGAUGAAAGAAAAACUUUGAUAGAUAGACCAUGACAACGACAUGAAACACAGUUACCCGAUGGUUGUGUGAUAAAUGUUUUAAGGCGGUAUUCCAACCACAUUUAAUAAAUUUUGAAGGACAAGGCUUUGCUGGGUCAAUGUUUAUUACCAUACAAACGGCAAAUAUCAUUACAUGACUGGAAUUGUACAAGCAUAUCGGGCGCGUGAGGAUGAGUUAGUGGCGGCGAUAUUUUGGCAGAAAUGGCAAAGAAUCGCGAUGGUUUCUAAAUGUGUAUAGAAAACAAGAAUAUUAAAAAAAGUGUUACAGAAACUUACAAAGAGCUCACAGCAGUAGA